GAGAGAGAGAGAGAGAGAGAGAGAGAGAGAGAAUGCAUGUGUAGGAGGUAGGGGCUAGAAGGAGGAUGUAUAAGCCGGCUGAGUUGUUAGAGAGUGGGUGAUGACACACACGAGAAAAUAACAGUGCCAAGAGAUCGCUGUAGACAUCGAAGCUGAAUCUACAUAGCUUCAUUAUAACGCUGUGCCAGGUUGCUUUUUCAUGGGUGACUGCAGUAGCUCCUCCCUUCUGCCGUCCUCAGCUCCAGGGUCCUGCAUGAUCACAUGUAAUUAGCCAUGUGACACCUAUACCUUCAUGGACAGCCCUCAUUGGAUGGGUUUGAUGGUUAAACCUCCUUGUUAAUCUGACUGGACUUGGAAUCAUCUACGAGAAAGGGUGUGUAUAUGUGUGAGGGUAUUUCCGGAGAGAUUGGACAAAGGAGGGAAGACCUACCCUGGAUGUGGGUAGCACCUUCCUCUGGA
rnacentral:sRNA from 1 species